rnacentral:tRNA from 1 species
GCCCUUGUGGUAUAAUGGCCAGCACACUUGGUGCGAAUUUCGAGAGGUCCGUGGUUCGAAUCCCGGUGAAGGCA